rnacentral:rRNA from 1 species
GAUGAACGCUGGCGGCGUGCCUAAUACAUGCAAGUAGAACGCUGAAGGAGGAGCUUGCUCUUCUGGAUGAGUUGCGAACGGGUGAGUAACGCGUAGGUAACCUGCCUGGUAGCGGGGGAUAACUAUUGGAAACGAUAGCUAAUACCGCAUGACAACAGUUAUUGCAUGAUAACUGUUUAAAAGGGGCAACUGCUCCACUACCAGAUGGACCUGCGUUGUAUUAGCUAGUUGGUGAGGUAACGGCUCACCAAGGCGACGAUACAUAGCCGACCUGAGAGGGGGGUCGGCCAACCUGGGAAUGGGACACGGCCCAGGCUCCUACGGGAGGGAGCAGUAGGGGAUCUUCGGAAAUGGAGGGAAGUCUUACCGAGCAACGCCGCGUGAGUGAAGAAGGUUUUCGGAUCGUAAAGCUCUGUUGUAAGAGAAGAACGAGUGUGAGAGUGGAAAGUUCACACUGUGACGGUAUCUUACCAGAAAGGGACGGCUAACUACGUG